rnacentral:lncRNA from 1 species
AAUUCCAGCGGGGAGAGAAGCUGCGCAUGAUUUCGAAUUGCAGCCACAUCUUCCACAUCGAUUGCCAGACUGCUAAAUUAAUUCCGAAUCAGUAGCUGCCGCGCCGUCGAUCGACCGCCUGAAACCCUAUCGCCGCCGCCUGAAACCCUAAUUUCUGAGGAGGAGACGCCGCAAAUCUGGCUCUCUCUCUUUCUCAUGCUCGAUCUCCGGUAGCCCCUCCACGCAGAUCUGGCUCUCUCUCUCUCUCUCUCUCUCUCUCUCUCUCUCUU